AUACGGAGGAUCCGAGCGUUAUCGGGAUUUAUUGGGUUUAAAGGGUGCGCAGGCGGCCAUUUAAGUCAGCGGUUAAAUCGUGGGGCUCAACCCCAUUCUGCCGUUGAUACUGGGUGGCUUGAUUGCGGUCGAGGUUGGCGGAAUUCGUUGUGUAGCGGUGAAAUGCAUAGAUAUGACGAAGAACACCGAUUGCGUAGGCAGCUGACCAGACCGCAAAUGACGCUCAUGCACGAAAGUGCGGGGAUCGAACAGGAUUAGAUACCCUGGUAGUCCGCACAGUAAACGAUGAAUACUUGUUUUCGGCGAUAUAAUGUCGGAGGCAAAGCGAAAGCGAUAAGUAUUCCACCUGGGGGGUACGCCGGCAACGGUGAAACUCAAAUGAAUUGACGGGG
rnacentral:rRNA from 1 species